rnacentral:lncRNA from 1 species
CUGUUUGUGUUUUUCCACAGGGAGAACAGCAGCCCAUUUGGAUUCCAGAGAGAUUAACUAAAACAGUUUCUACAGAUCGAAAAGAAGAUGAUUUGACUCAAAUCCAUAACAGCUGAUAUCCAGAACUCCAGCUUGGCCAUUCUUACAUCUGUGACAGUGAUUAACCAGGAUGCUUUUUUCAAUAGCUAUUUUCUUAUUGCAUUUUUCCACAUCAUAAGGUUCUAUUUUUAUUUUUUGAGCUCAUACAAAC